UGUUGAUGGCUGAACAUUGCAUUAUCCUAGAAAACUUGGAGGCCAGUGAGGACAAAAAUAAAAAGUUAUAAGACUUUUGAAAAUGUGGAUUUUUGGGUUAUCUUUGGCGCCCCCUAGAACGUAAACCGUGGGGUGCAGCAGCAUGAUUUUUACAUCUUUGAAUGGCCAUGGGGUGUAGAUUGGCCUGAGCAAAUUUGGUGCCGAUGGGACGAAAGCUUUAGGAGGAGUUAGCGAAAUUCCAAUGUGUGCGGAUCGGCAAAAAAUGCAAAAUAGCCCUUUAACCGUACAUUUGACAGAUACGCGCAUUGACUUUUUCGUAGAUCUUUUUGAGAUACACGUGAUUGUCAAAUUUUGUGUCAAUAUGCCAAAGCGUACAGGUGUGACACUCACCAAUGUGUAUUUUCACCUUAGGGGACAAGAAAAAAUGGACUUUUUUCUCCUGCCAUGGGGGGGCGCUCUUUUGGGGAGUAAAAAUUCCUUCACAAAUGUGUUGAUGGCUGGACAUUGCAUCAUCCUAGAAAACUUGGAGGCCAGUGAGGACAAAAAUAAAAAGUUAUAAGACUUUUAAAUAUGUGGAUUUUAGGGUUAUCUUUGGCGCCCCCUAGAACCUAAACCGUGGGGUGCAGCGUCAUGAUUUGAAUAACUUUUAAUGGCCAUGGGGUGUAGAUUGGCCUGAGCAAAUGUGGUGCCGGUGAAACGAAAGCCUUCGGAGGAGUUAGCGAAAUUCCAAUGUGUGCGGAUCGGCAAAAAAUGCGGAAUAACCCUUUAACCGUACAUUUGA